rnacentral:rRNA from 1 species
AUACGAAGGGGGCUAGCGUUGUUCGGAAUCACUGGGCGUAAAGCGCACGUAGGUGGAUCAAUCAGUUGAGGGUGAAAUCCCGGGGCUCAACCUCGGAACUGCCUUCAAUACUGUUGGUCUUGAGUCCGAGAGAGGUGAGUGGAAUUCCUAGUGUAGAGGUGAAAUUCGUAGAUAUUAGGAAGAACACCAGUGGCGAAGGCGGCUCACUGGCUCGGUACUGACGCUGAGGUGCGAAAGCGUGGGGAGCAAACAGGAUUAGAAACCCUUGUAGUCC